rnacentral:rRNA from 1 species
CAGUCGAACGAGAGAUACAGGAGGAAGUUUUCGGAUGGAAUCCGGUAGAUCGAGUGCCGUACGGGUGAGUAACGCGUGGGGAACCUGCCUCAUACAGGGGGAUAACAGUUGGAAACGACUGUUAAUACCGCAUAAGACCACAGAGUCGCAUGACUCAGGGGUAAAAACUCCGGUGGUAUGAGAUGGACCCGCGUUCGAUUAGCCAGUUGGCGGGGUAACGGCCCACCAAAGCGACGAUCGAUAGCCGAUUUGAGAGAAUGACCGGCCACAUUGGGACUGAGACACGGCCCAAACUCCUACGGGAGGCAGCAGUGGGGAAUAUUGCACAAUGGGGGGAACCCUGAUGCAGCGACGCCGCGUGAGUGAAGAAGUAUUUCGGUAUGUAAAGCUCUAUCAGCAGGGAAGAAGAUGACGGUACCUGAGUAAGAAGCCCCGGCUAACUACGUGCCAGCAGCCGCGGUAAUACGUAGGGGGCAAGCGUUAUCCGGAUUUACUGGGUGUAAAGGGAGCGCAGACGGCUAUGCAAGUCUGAAGUGAAAGCCCGGGGCUCAACCCCGGGACUGCUUUGGAAACUGUGUAGCUAGAGUGUCGGAGAGGUAAGCAGAAUUCCCAGUGUAGCGGUGAAAUGCGUAGAUAUUGGGAAGAAUACCGGUGGCGAAGGCGGCUUACU